CAGUCGUGAGGAAGGUGGUAGUGUUAAUAGCACUAUCAUUUGACGUUAGCGACAGAAGAAAGCACCGGCUAACUCCGUGCCAGCAGCCGCGGUAAUACGGAGGGUGCGAGCGUUAAUCGGAAUUACUGGGCGUAAAGACGCAUGCAGGUGGUUUGUUAAGUCAGAUGUGAAAGACCCGGGGCGUCAACCUCGGAAUAGCAUUUGUAAACUAGGCAGACUAGAGUACUGUAGAGGGGGGUAGGAAUUUCAGGUGUAGCGGUGAAAUAGCGUAGAGAUCUGAAGGAAUACCGGUGGCGAAGGCGGCCCCCUCGGACAGAUACUGACACUCAGAUGCGAAAGCGUGGGGAGCAAACAGGAUUAGAUACCCUGGUAG
rnacentral:rRNA from 1 species